AUUGAACGCUGGCGGCAUGCCUUACACAUGCAAGUCGAACGGCAGCACGGGGCAACCUGGUGGCGAGCGGCGAACGGGUGAGUAAUGCAUCGGAACGUGCCAUUGAGUGGGGGAUAACGUAGCGAAAGUUGCGCUAAUACCGCAUAUUCUGUGAGCAGGAAAGCAGGGGGACCGCAAGGCCUUGCGCUCUUUGAGCGGCCGAUGUCAGAUUAGCUAGUUGGUGAGGUAACGGCUUACCAAGGCGACGAUCUGUAGCGGGUCUGAGAGGAUGAUCCGCCACACUGGAACUGAGACACGGUCCAGACUCCUACGGGAGGCAGCAGUGGGGAAUUUUGGACAAUGGGCGCAAGCCUGAUCCAGCCAUGCCGCGUGAGUGAAGAAGGCCU
rnacentral:rRNA from 1 species